AUCCAGAUGACGAGCCCCGAAUAGGACGAAAUGCGCAUCCUGACUGGAU
rnacentral:hammerhead_ribozyme from 1 species